rnacentral:lncRNA from 1 species
GGCAGAGGUUGCCCAGCACAGCCACUGCUGCACUGGGGGACACGGUGCCAGUCCCUGGCCCCAGAGCUGCUGGGGGAGAGGGACGUGGGCUGCUGGGCCGGGCUGGGAGCUCCCAGCUCUGCGCGUACCAAGGUUGGGCAGAGCCGUGUGGGCAGCCUGGGGCAGGAUGCAGGCACCCGCUGAGAUCCAGCAGCAGCAGUGCACGGCCUCGGGUCCUCGGGGAGCUCGGCCUGCCCGGGCGAGUGGCAUUGCCCCUGCGCCACAUGCGCCGUGCGAGCUCCCGGCCGCCUCCUGUCUGAGCAGUGCCCGUCUUUGCACCCUGCAGAUCCGCAGCUUGCUGGGGCAGCACAGGAUGCCGAGAGCGCCCCUGAGCUUGCCCACGGGAGCCAGGGGCUGCUGCUGGAGGUGGACGCCCACGUGGCCGGCACCGUGCGGGCCCUGCAGGACGACAUGCAGCGCGUGCUGCAGCGCCUGAGCGAGCUGGAGACGCUCACCUCUGUGCAGGGGGACACCUCUGGGGCUGAACCUGGCCGGCUGCUUGCACCACAGGCAGCGUUCCCGUGGCCGCUGGCGGUGUCCCCGCGCACGCUGCUGUUCCUCAUCGCCUGGCCCUUCGUCACCCAGUGGCUGCUGCGCCGCUGGCAGGGCACCAAGAGGUGACCGCCGCGGGACGGCCCCGCUCCGCCUGCCCCCACCGCCACCGCCCUCCUGCCGCUUCUCACGAGCCGGGAAAGCGCCGGGACCGCCGCACCCCCACCCCCACCGCCGCCUUCCUGCCACCGGCGGCCCCGGCCCCGAGGGAGCCGAGCUGCGAGCCCGGGACCCCCCGGGACCCCCGGACCCCCCCCUCGCAGCCGGCCCCGGGUCGGGGCGGGGCCGCCUCGCACCGCCGCUCCCAGCCGCUGGGCCCGGCCCCGCACGCACGGGGGCGCCCGAGCGCUGCCCGCACCCGCGGCGCCGCCAUCACACAGCGGGGAGCGGGGCCGGAGCCCCCCGGGGGGGCCCGCGGGGAGCCGGGGGAGCUGCGGGGGCCGAGGCCCCAUUAAAGCGUUGCCUUCUCAGCCCGGCGCCCGCUCCGUGCUCUGCGGGGACCCCGGGGGGGGGCACCCCGCGACCACCGGCCCCGGCCCCGCCAGCCCCGGGCUGUGCCCGUGCCCCCCGGUGGCGGGGACAUCGCUGGGGGGGGGGGGGGGGGGGCCCGGCCCCGCCCCCUCGGGCCUGGGGGGGUCCUGGGGGGGGUCCCCGGGAGGUGCUGCCCCCCCCCGUCCCCGUCCCUCCCUCUCUCGGCCCCGCCCCUCCGGUUGUGGCCGCGGCGCCUUUAAGCCGGGCCUCGUCCCCUCCCGGUUUGUUUACAUCUCCCUCCGCGCUCUGACCGCAUCACCCAGCGCGGCCCCGGGACUC